rnacentral:rRNA from 1 species
UAGGGAAUCUUCGGCAAUGGGGGGAACCCUGACCGAGCAACGCCGCGUGAGUGAAGAAGGUUUUCGGAUCGUAAAGCUCUGUUGUUAAGGAAGAACGAGUGUGAGAAUGGAAAGUUCAUACUGUGACGGUACUUAACCAGAAAGGGACGGCUAACUACGUGCCAGCAGCCGCGGUAAUACGUAGGUCCCGAGCGUUGUCCGGAUUUAUUGGGCGUAAAGCGAGCGCAGGCGGUUAGAUAAGUCUGAAGUUAAAGGCAGUGGCUCAACCAUUGUAGGCUUUGGAAACUGUUUAACUUGAGUGCAGAAGGGGAGAGUGGAAUUCCAUGUGUAGCUGUGAAAUGCGUAGAUAUAUGGAGGAACACCGGUGGCAAAGGCGGCUCUGUGGUCUGUAACUGACGCUAAGGCUCGAAAGCGUGGGGAGCGAACAGG